rnacentral:rRNA from 1 species
UACGUAGGGUGCAAGCGUUGUCCGGAAUUAUUGGGCGUAAAGAGCUCGUAGGCGGUCUGUCACGUCGGCUGUGAAAUCCCGAGGCUCAACCUCGGGUCUGCAGUCGAUACGGGCAAACUAGAGUAUUGCAGGGGAGACUGGAAUUCCUGGUGUAGCGGUGAAAUGCGUAGAGAUGCGGAGGAACACCCGGAUGGACGGAAGGCAGCCCCUGGGCUAACACUGACGCUCGAGGCACGAAAGCGUGGGGAGCAAACAGG